UACGGAGGGUGCGAGCGUUGUCCGGAUUUAUUGGGUUUAAAGGGUGCGUAGGCGGCCCGUUAAGUCGGCGGUGAAACCCCUGGGCUCAACCCAGGGAGUGCCGUUGAUACUGGCGGGCUUGGAUUUCCUCUGGGCGGGCGGAAUGUGCCGUGUAGCGGUGAAAUGCUUAGAUAUGGCACAGAACACCGAUAGUGAAGACAGCUUACGAGGGCGAAACUGACGCUGAGGCACGAAAGCGUGGGGAUCGAACAGG
rnacentral:rRNA from 1 species